UACGUAGGGUGCGAGCGUUAAUCGGAAUUACUGGGCGUAAAGCGUGCGCAGGCGGUUUUGUAAGCCAGAUGUGAAAUACCCGGGCUUAACCUGGGAAUGGCAUUUGGGACUGCAAGGCUUGAGUGCGGCAGAGGAGACUGGAAUUCCUGGUGUAGCAGUGAAAUGCGUAGAUAUCAGGAGGAACACCGAUGGCGAAGGCAGGUCUCUGGGCUGACACUGACGCUCAUGCACGAAAGCGUGGGGAGCAAACAGG
rnacentral:rRNA from 1 species